rnacentral:rRNA from 1 species
GUAAGGAAUAUUGGUCAAUGGACGCAAGUCUGAACCAGCCAUGCCGCGUGAAGGAUGAAGGUCCUCUGGAUUGUAAACUUCUUUUAUAGGGGAAGAAACCCGGAAAUUCUUUUUCGGUUGACGGUACCCUGGGAAUAAGCACCGGCUAACUCCGUGCCAGCAGCCGCGGUAAUACGGAGGGUGCAAGCGUUAUCCGGAUUCACUGGGUUUAAAGGGUGCGUAGGUGGAUCUGUAAGUCAGUGGUGAAAUCUCCAAGCUUAACUUGGAAACUGCCGUUGAUACUAUAGAUCUUGAAUGCUGUGGAGGUGAGCGGAAUAUGUCAUGUAGCGGUGAAAUGCUUAGAUAUGACAUAGAACACCAAUUGCGAAGGCAGCUCACUACCCAGAUAUUGACACUGAGGCACGAAAGCGUGGGGAUCAAACAGGAUUAGAAACCCUUGUAGUCC